GAUGAACGCUAGCGGCAGGCUUAAUACAUGCAAGUCGAACGGUAACUGGAGUAGCAAUACUACAGCAAGAGUGACGUACGGGUGCGUAACACGUAUGCAACCUACCCUUUACAGGAGGAUAGCUCGGGGAAACUCGAAUUAACCCUCCAUAAUAUUAUUUAGUGGCAUCAUUAGAUAAUUAAAACUCAGGUGGUAAAGGAUGGGCAUGCGUCUGAUUAGUUAGUUGGCGGGGUAAUAGCCCACCAAGACGAUGAUCAGUAGGGGACCUGAGAGGGUGAUCCCCCACACUGGCACUGAGAUACGGGCCAGACUCCUACGGGAGGCAGCAGUAGGGAAUAUUGGUCAAUGGGUGCAAGCCUGAACCAGCCAUGCCGCGUGCAGGAAGAAGGCCUUCUGGGUUGUAAACUGCUUUUGCCAGGGGAUAAAAAUCUCAUGCGUGAGAAAUUGAAGGUACCUGGUGAAUAAGCCACGGCUAACUACGUGCCAGCAGCCGCGGUAAAAC
rnacentral:rRNA from 1 species